rnacentral:misc_RNA from 1 species
UCCGGUUUGUCACCGGCUCCCUUGCGGGUCGCCCCAACUUUCAUCGGGACUACUACCAGUCGUUCGAGCCCAGGUAAGGUUCUUCGCGUAGCGUCGAAUUAAACCACAUGCUCCACCGCUUGUGCGGGCCCCCGUCAAUUCCUUUGAGUUUUAACCUUGCGGCCGUACUCCCCAGGCGGCUGACUUAAUGCGUUAGCGGCGGCACGGAAGGGGUCGAUACCUCCCACACCUAGUCAGCAUCGUUUACAGCUAGGACUAC